AGUCGCAUCGUACGACACUGACCGUGGAACGGAGGGUUCUGUCAUAGCUUCCACGAAUUAGCAGUUUCACAGGCUGUGUCGGUCUGUGAUGGCUGAAGUCAGGUUCUCUUCAUGAACACAAGGUUCCCUGGAUCGUGGCACGGUGCUCCUUAAUGGACAGCCUGCAAUCUGCAUCAAGCAGCUGCCACUAUAUUCGAAGAUGGAGAUUGACCUGUAGGUAAUAACGGCUACCCGCUCCAGCCCUGGCUCAUGGCACCUGUCCGUUCGCACUCAACACGUUAAGAACAAAGCUACAACACUGCACACAGCAGGACCCAUGUGUGCAUUGAGCACUACUUUGGGGUACUGAAGACGCGAUUCCGGUGCCUACAGAGG